UCUACGUUCCGUGGCGGGGUAAUCGAUCGAAUCGAUAAGGACCAAGGUUUUGUGGGAUUUGGUUCAUUUUCUCAGCCAAAACAGUUGAACAGAAAUCGCAGAGACAGAGACCAGACACGCUUUGGCCAAUUCAACUCUGGUCAAUUCAACUCUGACACGCACGGCUGCAGUGGUAUUCAGGCAAGAAGCUGCAGUGCUCAUGSUCACUGUGCAGGAUGCCUGGGACUCUACACCUGUGACGUGGAYCUUGGAAAGUGUCACCUCAAGGGGAUCUCACAGAGGACAGAAAGCAAGUUCUUCCAGACCCUGAGUGAYAGCAGACGGAGUUGACACCUAAACCAACACAACCGAUCAUGAACCUUGACCUUUUCUACUGAUUCUGUUGUUGUUGUUGUGCAUUUUACUGAUGUGCAGGAAAUGCAAUUUCUAAUUUGAAUUUUCUAAUAAAAUGAAAAAAAUAAUUUUCAAUGGUCAAUGGUUUACUGUACUAGAGUGAACUCAAAUGUACUCAGAUGUUGAUGUUGAUAUGAAUUGUUAAUAUAAUGUGUGAUGCCAUUUUGUUAAAUCUCCUUAGGGGUCAGUCACUCUUAGGAUGUUACUUCGUUAUGGGCUUAGUGGUCGGAAAGUUUGAUAAACAUCUCUGAAUACCUUAAGAUAUUAUCUUGUUUUUGGG